rnacentral:rRNA from 1 species
UACGUAGAUGGCAAGCGUUGUUCGGAAUUAUUGGGCGUAAAGGGCUCGUAGGCGGUUUGUCGCGUCGGGAGUGAAAACGCCGUGCUUAACACGGCGCUUGCUUUCGAUACGGGCAGACUAGAGGUAUGCAGGGGAGAACGGAAUUCCUGGUGUAGCGGUGAAAUGCGCAGAUAUCAGGAGGAACACCGGUGGCGAAGGCGGUUCUCUGGGCAUUACCUGACGCUGAGGAGCGAAAGUGUGGGGAGCGAACAGG